rnacentral:rRNA from 1 species
UACGUAGGAUGCGAGCGUUGUCCGGAAUUAUUGGGCGUAAAGAGCACGUAGGCGGUUUGUUAAGUUUGGGCUUAAAGACUGGGGCUCAACCCCAGGAGUGGCUCGAAAACUGACAGACUAGAGGAUGGCAGAGGAAAGUGGAAUUCCCAGUGUAGCGGUGAAAUGCGUAGAUAUUGGGAGGAACACCAGUGGCGAAAGCGACUUUCUGGGCCAUUCCUGACGCUGAGGAACGAAAGCUAGGGGAGCAAACAGG